CGAGGACUUCGGUCCUAGCGGCGGACGGGUGAGUAACGCGUGGGAACGUGCCCUUUGCUACGGAAUAGCCCUGGGAAACUGGGAGUAAUACCGUAUGUGCCCUUUGGGGGAAAGAUUUAUCGGCAAAGGAUCGGCCCGCGUUGGAUUAGGUAGUUGGUGGGGUAAUGGCCUACCAAGCCGACGAUCCAUAGCUGGUUUGAGAGGAUGAUCAGCCACACUGGGACUGAGACACGGCCCAGACUCCUACGGGAGGCAGCAGUGGGGAAUCUUAGACAAUGGGCGCAAGCCUGAUCUAGCCAUGCCGCGUGAGCGAUGAAGGCCUUAGGGUUGUAAAGCUCUUUCAGCGAGGAAGAUAAUGACUGUACUCGCAGAAGAAGCCCCGGCUAACUCCGUGCCAGCAGCCGCGGUAAUACGGAGGGGGCUAGCGUUGUUCGGAAUUACUGGGCGUAAAGCGCACGUAGGCGGACUGGAAAGUCAGGGGUGAAAUCCCGGGGCUCAACCCCGGAACUGCCUUUGAAACUCCCAGUCUUGAGGUCGAGAGAGGUGAGUGGAAUUCCGAGUGUAGAGGUGAAAUUCGUAGAUAUUCGGAGGAACACCAGUGGCGAAGGCG
rnacentral:rRNA from 1 species